GCUGGGGUAGCUCAGUCGGUACAGCGUGAGACUCUGAAUUUUUGGGCAGUGGGUUCGAGUCCCGCUUUGGCU